CGUAGGGGGCAAGCGUUGUCCGGAAUCAUUGGGCGUAAAGCGCGUGUAGGCGGCCAGAUAAGUCCGCUGUGAAAUCUCGAGGCUCAACUUCGAGCUGUCGGUGGAAACUGUCUGGCUAGAGUCCGGAAGAGGAGAAUGGAAUUCCUGGUGUAGCGGUGAAAUGCGCAGAUAUCAGGAAGAACACCCGUGGCGAAGGCGGUUCUCUGGGACGGUACUGACGCUGAGGCGCGAAAGCGUGGGGAGCGAACAGGAUUAGAUACCCUGGUAGUCCACGCCGUAAACGAUGGGAACUAGGUGUGGGGGGUGUCGACUCCCUCCGUGCCGAAGCUAACGCAUUAAGUCCCCGCUGGGGAGUACGGCCGCAAGGCUA
rnacentral:rRNA from 1 species